rnacentral:rRNA from 1 species
GACGAACGCUGGCGGCGUGCCUAAUACAUGCAAGUCGAGCGAAGUUUUUCUGGUGCUUGCACUAGAAAAACUUAGCGGCGAACGGGUGAGUAACACGUAAAGAACCUGCCUCAUAGACUGGGACAACUAUUGGAAACGAUAGCUAAUACCGGAUAACAGUAUUUCUCGCAUGAGAGAUAUUUAAAAGUUGGUUAUGCUAACACUAUGAGAUGGCUUUGCGGUGCAUUAGCUAGUUGGUGGGGGAAAGGCCCACCAAGGCGACGAUGCAUAGCCGACCUGAGAGGGUUAUCGGCCACACUGGGACUGAGACCCGGCCCAGACUCCUACGGGAGGCAGCAGUAGGGAAUCUUCCGCAAUGGGCGAAAGCCUGACGGAGCAACGCCGCGUGAGUGAAGAAGGAUUUCGGUUCGUAAAGCUCUGUUGUUAGGGAAGAAUGGAUAUGUAGUAACUAUACAUGUAAGAGACGGUACCUAACCAGAAAGCCACGGCUAACUACGUG